UGUGAUGUAGCUUGCUGGUAGAGUGCUUGCCUAAUAUGCAUGAGGCCCUAGGUUCAAACCCCAGUAGCACAA
rnacentral:tRNA from 1 species